UAAACCGAAAAACAAACCAAUUGGAAAAAAAUAAAAAACAAAACUGGACGCGAGUAAGAAGAACAAGCGAGCUCACUAAACUGUCUGGAGAGAGGUGGGAAGACAAGGAAAUCACUUUUCACUCAAAUUUCAUCAUCCUCCUCAAUCGUUGGAGAUCUUUGAGCGAACACAGCAUCUCAGCAAUUGAAGAUGUAAGAGCGUCAAUUCAAAGGACUGCUAAAGCAUCUGAAGCCUGCAACACCUGGAACGAUUAAUGAACUAAGUAGCAAUCAUCUCAACUACAAGUAGAGAGUACUAGACGUCCCUCCCUGCCUGAGCUGCCUCUCAGGAAAAGAUGAAACCCAAAGCCAGUCCUAAGAAGCUGAGAAUUAGAUUAGAGCACACGGAGUAGGGAAGGCAACAAACAAAAACAGCCUGUUGCUAAACGAGGCCUAAAGAGAAUAGGCAAAAUCAGGCUCUUGUCGACAGCACCAACGAGCAGGACAUCACUAGAUAUUACCAAAACCAAACGAGAAAGGAUUUCCAAAUUACCUGCGGGGUAGACAUGGAUCAUCCUCAUCUGCCAAUUUACAAACUUAAGGCAGCAAGUUCAAGGUUUGUCUCUCCAAAACUGCAAAACAAAAUCAGUGCAGAGGAACAACUUGAGGGAUGAUGUAUGUAAUCAAGAUAAUAAUAUGCCUGAAGGAAUUAAUAGUUCUUUAUAUAAGUUAAGCUCUGUUUUCUAAUCUACUUCAAUACUAAUUUCUCCGCAUGUUAGAUUCUUAUGUAACACUAAAACCGGAGAAGAAGCAAACAACAGUAAUCUUUUAUUAGUUGUGCGUUACGAAAGUAAAAGUCUUUCUUUUAUUUUCAUCAAAGAAACAUAAGUGUAACGAGUUUAUAUAAUAUACUUACUAUACGAAGAAUGGAACAGAGUAUCGAGUGGACUACACUUAAGGCUGGGCUGGUAAUGCUGUACAGUUUAGUCUCUUCUUUACUUUGGUGUUCAACUUUUCAUUUAUUUUAUAUCUUUUUCUAAACUUU